UUGCACAAAGCAAUAACACACUUCUUGAACAUGUUGGCAUUUACGUAUGUAGAGUAUCCAAUGGUAUAAAAGCUACAAAUGAAAAUUUGUAUCAGGAAGGAGCAGUAUCCGUUCAAUAUGAAGAUCGACCAGAACCUCCAAACAAUAUAACAGUGGUUCAAUACGAAAACCACAUGAUAGUGUCAUGGAUUCCAGGUUUUAAUGGUGGAUCCAAUCAAGAUUUCUUUAUACAGCAUCGAAAUACUGACACAGAAUCGUGGACAACCACAGGUCCCGUAAAAUAUAGCUUCGAAAAUGAAAUUAAGUACACUAUAUAUGAACUGGUAUCAAAUAAACAAUAUUUUGUGUGCAUGUUUUCUAGAAAUGUAAUUGGAGAUAGUGAAAAAACAAGUGUUACAGAAGCUAGAAUUUUUGAAUACGAACAAAUAACGCUUCCUGUAUACAAUUAUUGCUCGGUGAUUAUUGGAAAUAUUGUUGGAGGAAUGCUAAUAUGCAGUAUUGUCUCACAUAUUUAUUGCCGUUUGAGGCGAAAAAGAAGAUCUAAUGCGACGGUGGAAAUCACUCCAGAAGGUCAAUAUGAUGAAAUAGGAACAAUUAAUUAUAACAAUAUGAUUGUUGAUCCAAUAACUAACUUUGAACUAGAUAAUAAUGACCAUAUACCAACAGACACCGUGCGCAACGAUGUUAUAUCGAGUGGUGGUGGAGAUAGUUCAAGUGCAAGCUCUUUCAUAGGACAAACUGGUGACGGUUAUGAAAAUCCCUAUCAGGCGAUAAUUCCUUCAAUUAUCGAAAUGCACCAAUACAGUAGCAUCAUCCCAAAUAUGUAUCAAAACACAAUUAUAUCACCGGCAAGCGCGGCAACAACAUCUGCAGAGUACAUUAAUACAGCAAUUGAUAAUUACACAAAGCCCUAGCUUGUUAUAUACAAGAGGAUGCAAUAAAUCUGAACUACGAAAGUAACUGCAUAAUAGAUUUGUGUUUUCUGUACUGAGCUUUAUAAAGACAAAUGUAUGGUUAAUAUA